UAGGGAAUAUUGCACAAUGGGCGAAAGCCUGAUGCAGCAACGCCGCGUGCGCGAAGAAGGUCUUCGGAUCGUAAAGCGCUUUUCUGGGAGAUGAGAAAGGACAGUAUCCCAGGAAUAAGUCUCGGCUAACUACGUGCCAGCAGCCGCGGUAACACGUAGGAGGCGAGCGUUAUCCGGAUUCACUGGGCGUAAAGCGCGUGCAGGCGGUUCGGUAAGUUGGGCGUGAAAUCUCCCGGCUCAACUGGGAGAGGUCGUUCAAUACUACCGGACUUGAGAGCGAUAGAGGAAAAUGGAAUUCCCGGUGUAGUGGUGAAAUGCGUAGAUAUCGGGAGGAACACCAGUGGCGAAAGCGAUUUUCUGGAUCGUUUCUGACGCUCAGACGCGAAAGCUAGGGUAGCAAACGGGAUUAGAGACCCCGUGUAG
rnacentral:rRNA from 1 species